rnacentral:rRNA from 1 species
CCUACGGGGGGCUGCAGUGGGGGAUAUUGCACAAUGGGGGGAACCCUGAUGCAGCGACGCCGCGUGGGUGAAGAAGCGCCUCGGCGCGUAAAGCCCUGUCAGCAGGGAAGAAAAUGACGGUACCUGAAGAAGAAGCCCCGGCUAACUACGUGCCAGCAGCCGCGGUAAUACGUAGGGGGCAAGCGUUAUGCGGAUUGACUGGGUGUAAAGGGGGCGCAGACGGGGAUGCAAGCCAGGAGUGAAAGCCCGGGGCUCAACCACGGGACUGCGCUUGGAACUGCGUGGCUGGAGUGCAGGAGGGGCAGGCGGAAUUCCUGGUGUAGCGGUGAAAUGCGUAGAGAUCAGGAGGAACACCGGUGGCGAAGGCGGCCUGCUGGACUGCAACUGACGUUGAGGCCCGAAAGCGUGGGGAGCAAACAGGAUUAGAUACCCGAGUAGUC